rnacentral:rRNA from 1 species
UGGAGGGUUUCCGCCCUUCAGUGCUGCAGUAAACGCAUUAAGCACUCCGCCUGGGGAGUACGGCCGCAAGGCUGAAACUCAAAGGAAUUGACGGGGGCCCGCACAAGCGGUGGAGCAUGUGGUUUAAUUCGAAGCAACGCGAAGAACCUUACCAGGUCUUGACAUCCUUUGACCACUCUAGAGAUAGAGCUUUCCCUUCGGGGACAAAGUGACAGGUGGUGCAUGGUUGUCGUCAGCUCGUGUCGUGAGAUGUUGGGUUAAGUCCCGCAACGAGCGCAACCCUUAUUGUUAGUUGCCAUCAUUCAGUUGGGCACUCUAGCGAGACUGCCGGUGACAAACCGGAGGAAGGUGGGGAUGACGUCAAAUCAUCAUGCCCCUUAUGACCUGGGCUACACACGUGCUACAAUGGACAGUACAAUGAGUUGCGAGACCGCGAGGUUUAGCUAAUCUCUUAAAGCUGUUCUCAGUUCGGAUUGCAGGCUGCAACUCGCCUGCAUGAAGCCGGAAUCGCUAGUAAUCGCGGAUCAGAACGCCGCGGUGAAUACGUUCCCGGGCCUUGUACACACCGCCCGUCACACCACGAGAGUUUGUAACACCCAAAGUCGGUGAGGUAACCUUCGGGAGCCAGCCGCCUAAGGUGGGAUGGAUGA